GAUAUUUUUCAAUAAAAAGCUAUGAAUCUUGUCAGGUCCGGAAGGAAGCAGCAAUAAGUAGUAAAUUUUAUGUGAAAAAUACUUCC
rnacentral:SRP_RNA from 1 species